GACGUAGGGGGCGAGCGUUGUCCGGAUUUAUUGGGCGUAAAGAGCUCGUAGGCGGCUCACUAAGUCGGAUGUGAAAACUCCAGCUCAACCUGGAGACGCCAUUCGAUACUGGUGUGGCUAGAGUCCAGUAGGGGAGGUGUGGAAUUCCUGGUGUAGCGGUGAAAUGCAUAGAUAUCAGGAGGAACACCGAUGGCGAAGGCAGGUCUCUGGGCCACUACUGACGCUGAGAAGCGAAAGCAUGGGGAGCGAACAGG
rnacentral:rRNA from 1 species